rnacentral:rRNA from 1 species
UACGUAGGGGGCAAGCGUUGUCCGGAAUUAUUGGGCGUAAAGCGCGCGCAGGCGGUUUGGAAAGUCGGAUGUGAAAACUCGGGGCUCACCCCCGAGCCUGCAUGUGAAACUUCCAGACUUGAGAGCAAGAGAGGGGAGUGGAAUUCCUAGUGUAGCGGUGAAAUGCGUAGAUAUUAGGAGGAACACCAGUGGCGAAGGCGACUCCCUGGCUUGCAACUGACGCUGAGGCGCGAAAGCGUGGGUAGCGAACAGG